rnacentral:rRNA from 1 species
GGUGUACGCUGGCGGCGUGCCUAAUACAUGCAAGUCGAGCGAACAGACGAGGAGCUUGCUCCUCUGACGUUAGCGGCGGACGGGUGAGUAACACGUGGAUAACCUACCUAUAAGACUGGGAUAACUUCGGGAAACCGGAGCUAAUACCGGAUAAUAUAUUGAACCGCAUGGUUCAAUAGUGAAAGACGGUUUUGCUGUCACUUAUAGAUGGAUCCGCGCCGCAUUAGCUAGUUGGUAAGGUAACGGCUUACCAAGGCAACGAUGCGUAGCCGACCUGAGAGGGUGAUCGGCCACACUGGAACUGAGACACGGUCCAGACUCCUACGGGAGGCAGCAGUAGGCAAUCUUCCGCAAUGGGCGAAAGCCUGACGGAGCAACGCCGCGUGAGUGAUGAAGGUCUUCGGAUCGUAAAACUCUGUUAUUAGGGAAGAACAAAUGUGUAAGUAACUAUGCACGUCUUGACGGUACCUAAUCAGAAAGCCACGGCUAACUACGUG